rnacentral:rRNA from 1 species
UACGGAGGGUGCAAGCGUUAUCCGGAUUUACUGGGUUUAAAGGGUGCGUAGGCGGGCCAUUAAGUCAGUGGUGAAAGCUCCGAGCUUAACUCGGAAACUGCCAUUGAUACUAUUGGUCUUGAAUUCGGUCGAGGUUGGCGGAAUGUGUCGUGUAGCGGUGAAAUGCUUAGAUAUGACACAGAACACCGAUUGCGGAGGCAGCUAGCUAGACCGACAUUGACGCUGAGGCACGAAAGCGUGGGGAUCAAACAGG